GACGAACGCUGGCGGCGUGCCUAAUACAUGCAAGUCGAACGCAGUGGGGACGGGUGAGUAACACGUGGGUAACCUCCCAUCAGAGGGAUAAAACCUGGAAACAGGGGCUAAACCGAUACUGAUGGAUGGACCCGCGGUGCAGUAGAUAUGUGGGGAGGGAACGGUUCACCAAGGCCACGAUGCAUAGCCGACCUGAGAGGGUGAUCGGCCACACUGGGACUGAGACACGGCCCAGACUCCUACGGGAGGCAGCAGUAGGGAAUCUUCGGCAAUGGACGAAAGUCUGACCGAGCAACGCCGCGUGAGUGAAGAAGGUUUUCGGAUCGUAAAACUCUGUUGUUAGAGAAGCGGUAUCUAACCAGAAAGCCACGGCUAACUACGUGCCAGCAGCCGCGGUAAUUC
rnacentral:rRNA from 1 species